rnacentral:rRNA from 1 species
AGAGACUGCAAGCGUUAUUCGGAUUCACUGGGCGUAAAGGGUGCGCAGGCGGCCGUGUGUGUGAGGCGUGAAAGCCCGAUGCUUAACAUCGGAAUUGCACCUCAAACUACACGGCUAGAGCAUUGGAGAGGGUAGCGGAAUUCACGGUGUAGCAGUGAAAUGCGUAGAUAUCGUGAGGAACACCAGAGGCGAAGGCGGCUACCUGGACAAUUGCUGACGCUCAGGCACGAAAGCGUGGGGAGCAAAAGGGAUUAGAUACCCCUGUAGUCCACGCCCUAAACGGUGCACACUAGGUCUUGGCGGAUUCGACCCCACCAGGGCCCCAGCUAACGCGUUAAGUGUGCCGCCUGAGGACUACGGUCGCAAGACUA